CGGACAGAACGACCCGGUCACUCGGGUUAGAGGCUGACGGCGACGCCGCCGGUGCGGGCGCCCGGCCGUGGGGGCACGAGGCCCCGGCACCCCGACUGCCGGCUCCGGGGUCGCCCCUCGUCCGGGGCCGGGGGGGGGGGGGCGGGGGGACCCCUGGGCGCUCAGCCGCCGCGGAUCCCCUCGGCCUCCCCGCGGGGCCGCGGGACCGGCGCUGCGCGAGGGUUCGGGCCGGCACCGGCCCCGGCCCCGCCGCCCCCGGGAAUCCGGAAGGAAAACGGCCGCCGCCGCCGCUCGGGGGCUUAGGGGUCGGGCCCAGCCACCGAGAACUCCCGCGGGAGCGAGAAACGGCAGCAGGAAAGCGUGGGCUUCCGGAAGAGAGACACUAACGGGAUCUAAGUUCGGGCGACAGGAAGGGGCCUCGGGGUGACGCUGGAGGUGAGACCACGGUUGGGUCGGCGUGAGCUGGAGGAACACAGGUCCAGCUGACUCCCUGGUCCUGGAGCCCAGUUUCUCCCUGAGGUCAGCUGCUCAGAAGAGUCACCUGUAAUCCAUCCAUCAUGUCUUCAGCUCCCAUCCUCUCUUCAAAUGGUCCAAUCCAGUUUCCAUCUUGUACAAUUGACUGACUGUGCACGUUACAUCCACCAAACCCAGUGCUCACUUCUCUGCAUGUUCUUGCUUCCCAAACUGCUAGUGAUUCUCACCACAUCUGACCACUCCCUCCUCUGGGAAAAUUGGCUUCCCUUCACCUCCAUGCAUCACACUCUCUUGGUUUUCCUCAACACUGCUGGCACCCCUUCUCAGUACCCUUGGCUGCCUCACUAGCCCUUGGUCCUCUGGGCUCAGCCCUUUCCAUCUUCCUGUCUGCCACACACACUUGCUCACUCACUGUGUGGCCUCCUCCACUUUCCUGGACUUUAACGCAGCAUAUGUGUCAAUGACACCAACAUGCGUACCCCCAGCCCUGGCUGGAGCUCUCGGCUCCUGUACUCAACUGACCUCUUGAUAGGGCCACAUGAAUGUCAAAAAAUCCUUUCAAACUUAAACAAAAUAUUUAUUCCUAACCACCCAGUUCAAAUUAUUUUCUUACAGUAUUCCUUAUCCCAAUAAACUGUACCACUAAAUUUAUUCAAAUUAUUUAAGACAAACUUUUUAGGGAUAAGCUUGAUUUUCUACUCCUCCCCCUUUUGAUCCAUUAAAAAGUCAUAAAAAUAUCUACCCCAAAUCUGCUCACCUUGUCUUUAUGACUGUCCUUGUCACUACCACAUGAAAUGGAGCCCCAAGCAUGUCUUCCCUGGAGAACUCAUCCAUGCUCCUAAUGGCCUUGCUGACUCCACUCAUGAACCCCUAGAGUCCAGUCUAUACAUGGUAGCUGGUGUUAUUGUUUUUCAAAUAAAUAUAACUGCACUCUCCUUAUUCACAUGUCUCUUCAAAUAAAAUUCAAAUUUCUUACCACA